UUGAACGCUGGGGGCAGGCUUAACACAUGCUUGUCGAGCGGAGUGAUGGUGCUUGCACUAUCACUUAGCGGCGGACGGGUGAGUAAUGCUUAGGAAUCUGCCUAUUAGUGGGGGACAACAUUUCGAAAGGAAUGCUAAUACCGCAUACGUCCUACGGGAGAAAGCAGGGGAUCUUCGGACCUUGCGCUAAUAGAUGAGCCUAAGUCGGAUUARCUAGUUGGUGGGGUAAAGGCCUACCAAGGCGACGAUCUGUAGCGGGUCUGACAGGAUGAUCCGCCACACUGGGACUGAGACACGGCCCAUACUCCUACGGGAGGCAGCAGUGGGGAAUAUUGGACAAUGGGCGCAAGCCUGAUCCA
rnacentral:rRNA from 2 species